AAACCAGUAAAAAAUAAAUUAAGAUAGGGAACCUUACGUGCAGCCAAUUCCAUACGUGGACACAAUGUAUACGGAUACACGCAUGCAAAUAAGACAUGUAUAUGGACUACAUAGAGGACUCCACAAGGACUUUCCAAGGCAUGAUGGAAAAAAGGACUUGCCAAGGCAACCACGACAGAUAAAAAGGCAUACAUCCGACCGCACCCAACACAUGCCCAAAAAAUUAGGUCAGCCAAAUAUGCUACCAGGCUAGCAUACUACCAAUAAAUUCAAAGUCUUCUGAUUCAACUAGGCAACGUCACAACGCCGGACGUAGUCGUGCCCAAGCAACCUUCUGAGUGGCCUCUCACCUGAAUCAUCAAGGUCCGUAAUUGCUAUUCUGGAUCCAAUCCUUUUGAGUGGCCUCUCACCUGAAUCAUAAAGGUUUGUAAUUGUUAUUCUUGACCCGAUCUACGGGCUGCCAGAUGUAGUCGUGCCCAAGCAACCUUUUGAGUGGCCUCUCAACAGAAUCAUCAAGGUUUGUAUUCUGGACACAAUCUUCAUACGUGCAUUAUUAAUUCACUAGAGAUUGUAUGAUCCUUUUACAGCAAUGUCAUACAACAAGCUUGGAGAGUUCACAACAAGAAGACAAGACUGUGUAUUGAAGCGCAAGUAAUGAGAAUAUGAGAUUAAUCAAUUCUACAACCAAAUGGCUUUGGAUCCCCAAUAUGAUAUUCAUGCAUGAAAAGGUUUAGUCAUUACAUAUAUAUUUGAAGAUUGUUCUAUUGUUCUAUACAAUUAAGUAUAUUUUGCCGAUAUGAAAUUCAUGGAUGAAAAGGUUUAGUCAUUAUAUAUUUACUUGCAUAUUGUUCUAUUGUUUUAUAGAACUACUAAGUACAUUUCGAUUGUUUUCACAUGGCCAAACAAUUCAUGCCACUAUCAGGAAGAAGUUUAUAGACACAUAUAGAUCAAAGAUAAAUGAGAAUCUAUUUAAACAUUUAGAAAUUUUAAGGUUCUGGAAUCCACAAAGUAUAACCGAGUAAGCAGUGAAAUAUAAUUAUGUCUGCGUACAUUACAAAAGUAGAGGCGAAAGGAUCAUCUGAAGGUUACCCAGCUUACUACUUCGAGUUUGCUACAAAAGAAACAUUAGAAGAACAUGCAGAGAAAUAUAAAAGAAUGCUCACAUAUCUCUAUAGUCUAUAGUUGUAAAUAAGACUUUCAAGAUAUUAAUAUUUUUAACUUCAAAAUAAUUAACUCCGCUUUUAAAGACAUCAUUGGAUUACUCACCCAAACGAAGCAUGUGGAAUCAUUAAUAAAAAAGAAAGAACUCUGAAAAUUCAUACUUCAGCCAAAUUGCAAUUGUAAUAUCAGACUAAGUUCAUAAUAUGUAACCAUUCCUCAAAUUUUAAUUGGACCAACUUCAUUGACAUGGCAUCAAUUUUUCUAGAUUAUACUCUUUAGGGGUGAUAAAAUUAUUGUUAGUUUAUGAGAAAAACUUAUAGCUUCAAUGAGGAUCUAAAUGGCAACCGAACUGUCCUUACUGUGACCUCAGCAAUGAUGCAGAAGUUCAAUGAUAAGUUCAUUAAUGUUACAAGCUCUUCUAUUAUUUACCAAAAUAUGUGCAACAGAUUUUUCUUUGAUUAAACAUAGUUGUGCUUAAUGUCAAGUGCCACAAGAAUAUAUAUAGAUUUAGAUAUACCAAAAACUUCGGUAUAUCUUGGUUAAAGUUUGGGGUAUCAUUAUACAGAUCUAGAUAUACUCAUAUGUGAGAUUCAUAACAUAUAUUUCUUUGACUAAGCAUGGUUGAGGAGGUUAAUUUGCAUUUAAUUCAUUACAAAAUGCCUACUGUGUUCUUUUUUUUGACUGAGAAAUAGUAGGAGAGGCACCUAAUAUGCUAUAAUAAUAUAUAAUAAGUAUUUACAUGGCUAGGAGGAAAGUCCCACCAAAGGAAAACAAACAAGCAGAGUCUAAAGUGAAUUUACAAAAGAAGUGAUAUAAUCACUGAGAUCAGGGGACACUCUGUAUCUAAGCCAGGUAAGAUCAGCCUUAGUUCUCUCAAGCCAAGCUCUAUAUGAAGGACUGAUCUGAUUGAAGAUGAAGUUAUUUCUCUCCUUCCAAAUAUUCCAAGCAGUAAUGGUGAAGAUUUCAAAGAAAAUUCUACCGGAAUAAAUUUCACGUACUGUGUUUGUAGUUUCCUAACUAAUAAGUAUAUCUCACAUAUGAUGCAUAGAAUUUUGGAUGAUGUGUUACAAAAAGCAACGAAGAACCAUAACAUGGAUGCGAAAAAGGUGGUUGAUUUUCUCAGAGUACAUACUUAUCAAUUUUUAGAGACAUGUAUAAUCUUUGAAAUGUAUUUUUAUUUUGUAGAAAAAUAACAAUUGAGAUUCACCUCAGAAAAGGAUAUGUCAAUUGGUUGCCCAUGGGAGAAGAACCACAUGAUACUAUGGGACUAUAGUAAAUGAGUUGAUGGGUGUGAAGAAAAAAUGUCAGCAUCACAUGGACUCUACAAUGGCAAAAGAAACUGAUGGAGAUCUAUUGUAUUAUCGGAUGGCUCAAAUGAUGAAUGCACCGACAUAAGUGUGCAAGAAUGAAAGGAGAAAUAUGUACGUUGGGAACAAGAAACAUGUUGAAGCAAAAGCAAAAAAACCUACAAUGCUUGAAGAUAAAGACUCAGUUGCCCGUUGUGGCAAAAUAAGAUGUAGUGUUACUGCAGCCGUUAGGAGAGCACAAAAAAUAACCAAAGAGCUAGAUGGCCACAAGACCGGAAUUGUUGAUGUAAAAUGCUAUUCCCUUUGUAAAGAAAUAUAAGAGCGUUUAGAUCACUAGUCUUAUAUUUCUUUAUGGAGGGAGUACAAGACAAGUGGGCAGUUAGAAGAUACAGUAGACAGAAAAAACACAAAAUUAGUUGAUUAGUAGCUUAUAGUGAAACUAAGGCAGACUACUACUGAGAUGGAGAAGAACACUUGACAUCUACCGAUAUAAUGAUGUGAGUUAUUAGAUAACAAAAGUAUUGAAUUUAGCACUACAAGAAUCAUGACAUGUUGUAUUUAUUUGAUUGAAAUAUGAGUUUUCUGCUCUUCAUGACAACUCUUCAAUCCAACAGACUUUUCAGAUCAAGAGAAAUAUUAGAAAGGCUUCAAUAUUAUCCUAUGUCAAUUAACACAUGGAUCUUGCUUUGUAUUAGAUACACGUAUAUGUAAUAUAUUUUUUUGGUGAAUACGCUUAGCAGCGUAUCAUUUCAUUGAUAGGUAGAAGGGUGUUCACAAGUUACAGGGAUGCUCCCUCGCAGACGUACACAAGCCAGCGUCUAGGAGGUUGCAAGGUGGAGCAGAGGGAGGAGGAUGCUCAGCCUCGGGACACAAGGUUUAAUUUACAGGUAUAAAUCGCGGCUAGCCCUCUACGCUCAGCACAGGUGGAGCAGACGUAUAUGUAAUAUAACUUGCAAAUAUAUGCUAAAAAAAUCAUUAUAUAUUUUUAGCUCAGUUAGAGGCUGAAAACAUACAUGUGAAGAAUCACCCGCUAUGGAGGAAGUAGGAAUGAUAUGAAGCUGUAGCACAUACAUGUGAAAACCCGGCAUGACGAACAAUGAGGGCCACAACUCAC
rnacentral:lncRNA from 1 species